AUGGGUAACGUAACGUGCCUGGAACUCAGGGAUAGCGUCNGGCCCGCAAGGGUCCUUUGCGAAAGUGACGGUAAUACCUGAUGACGUCACGAGGACACAUGUUCUUGUGACCAAAGGUGGGGACCGCAAGGCCUACCGGUUUCAGAGCGGCCCAUGCCCUAUCAGCUAGUUGGUGAGGUAACGGCCCACCAAGGCUUUGACGGGUAGCCGGCGUGAGAGCGCGACCGGCCACAUCGGAACUGAGACACUGUCCGGACACCUACGGGUGGCUGCAGCAACGAAUAUUCCGCAAUGGGCGCAAGCCUGACGGAGCGACGCCGCGUGAAGGAUGAAGUCCUUCGGGAUGUAAACUUCAAUAGUUUGUCAGGAAGCAAUCCGGGCUAAUACCCCGGUGCGUUGACCAGCAGACGAAAGGGACGGCUAACUCCGUGCCAGCAGCCGCGGUAAGACGGAGGUCCCUAGCGUUGUUCGGAAUUACUGGGCUUAAAGCGCGUGUAGGCGGAAGGGCAAGUACCUUGUGAAAUCCCCGGGCUCAACCCGGGAAUAGCUGGGUAUACUGCCUUUCUUGAGGCAGGUAGGGGUCACUGGAACCUUAGGUGGAGCGGUGAAAUGCGUAGAUAUCUAAGGGAACGCCUGUGGCGAAAGCGGGUGACUGGGCCUGUCCUGACGCUGAGACGCGAAAGCGUAGGGAGCAAACGGGAUUAGAUACCCCGGUAGUCUACGCCGUAAACGAUGCGCACUAGGUUCGAGGGUCCCUGACGACUCUCGAGCCNAAAUAAAAACGAUAAGUGCGCCGCCUGGGGAGUACGGCCGCAAGGCUAAAACUCAAAGGAAUUGACGGGGGCUCACACAAGCGGUGGAACAUGUGGAUCAAUUCGAAGCAACGCGAANAACCUUACCUGGGUUUGACAUGCACGGAUGCCGUCCAUGAAAGUGGAGCCGGCUGCCUUCGGGUGAAACGUGUACAGGUGCUGCAUGGCUGUCGUCAGCUCGUGCUGUGAAGUGUCGGGUUAAGUCCCUUAACGAGCGAAACCCUUAUCUCUAGUUGCCAACGGGUCAUGCCGGGAACUCUAGUGAGACUGCCGGCGUUAANCCGGAGGAAGGUGGGGAUGACGUCAAGUCAUCAUGGCCUUUAUGCCCAGGGUGUCACACGUGCUACAAUGGGGCGUACAGAGCGAAGCAAAGCCGCGAGGUANAGCAAAUCGCAA
rnacentral:rRNA from 1 species